GAUCAUGGCUCAGGAUGAACGCUGGCGGCGUGCUUAACACAUGCAAGUCGAACGAAGAUGCCGGAGUGCUUGCACUUUGGCAGACUGAGUGGCGGACGGGUGAGUAACGCGUGGGUAACCUGCCUUAUACAGGGGGAUAACAGUUGGAAACGACUGCUAAUACCGCAUAAGCGCACGGUAUCGCAUGAUACAGUGUGAAAAACUCCGGUGGUAUAAGAUGGACCCGCGUCUGAUUAGCUUGUUGGUGAGGUAACGGCCCACCAAGGCGACGAUCAGUAGCCGGCCUGAGAGGGUGAACGGCCACAUUGGGACUGAGACACGGCCCAAACUCCUACGGGAGGCAGCAGUGGGGAAUAUUGCACAAUGGGGGAAACCCUGAUGCAGCGACGCCGCGUGAGUGAUGAAGUAUUUCGGUAUGUAAAACUCUAUCAGCAGGGAAGAUAAUGACGGUACCUGACUAAGAAGCACCGGCUAAAUACGUG
rnacentral:rRNA from 1 species